GACGAACGCUGGCGGCGUGCCUAAUACAUGCAAGUCGAACGCUUCUUUCCUCCCGAGUGCUUGCACUCAAUUGGAAAGAGGAGUGGCGGACGGGUGAGUAACACGUGGGUAACCUACCCAUCAGAGGGGGAUAACACUUGGAAACAGGUGCUAAUACCGCAUAACAGUUUAUGCCGCAUGGCAUAAGAGUGAAAGGCGCUUUCGGGUGUCGCUGAUGGAUGGACCCGCGGUGCAUUAGCUAGUUGGUGAGGUAACGGCUCACCAAGGCCACGAUGCAUAGCGGACCGGGGGGGGUGUCGGGCCAAACUGGGACUGAGACCGGCCCCGGACUCUUACGGAAGGAGCAGGAGGGGAAUUUCCGGAAAUGGAGGAAAGUCGGCCCGGGCAACGCCGCGUGAGUAAAGAGGGUUUCGGAUUCGUAAACCCCUGUGGUUGGGGAAGAACAAGGCCGUUAGUAACUGACCGUCCCCGGCCGUAACCAAACAAGAAGGCCCCGCCAACCUACGU
rnacentral:rRNA from 1 species